UUCAAAAAUUUCGUUGUGAAGAUAUAAAAUUUUUAAAAUUAAAACCCUUUUUAUUGUAAAAUAUUCUUUGGUAAAUAUAUUAUUUUUUAAAAAGUAAAAUUAACAAAUAAUUUUUUAAAAAAAGGACAUGGAAAAAAGACAAGUAGAUUUUUGUUUGUUUUUGAUUCAGGGUGUCGUGCCCACGACAUAUAUUUCAAAUAAUAUAUUAACGUCACGCAAUAAUAAAGAAUACGAAUUUUUAUGAAUUACAAUUGAUUUAACUACCUCCAUACACAUGAUAUCACUUAUUUAAUGAUAAAAACGGCAUAUAUGUACAAUCCCGUUUGAUUUGCGUUCAACGAAUUCAAGAACGAAUUCAUAUUCAAUUUUACACGAUUGAAUGACUAUUUUUUUUUUUUUUUUUUUUUUUUAAUAUGUGUCUUCAGCUAAAUACAUACAUAACCAUAGCCUAAAGGCAUUUAUUUUUUUGUAAAAAAUAUUAUUACAUAUGCAAUUAAAAUAUCGUAAUAAUAGUAAUAAAAUGGUCAUAUGUUAUACUCGGGAAUCGCACAAUUUUUUUUUUUUUCAUAUAUGUUUGUUUCAUAAAAUUUUCAAUCAUACAUUCAUGCUGUUUUUAUAUUUUAUCCUACUUUGAAACAAAAAAAAAAAAACAAUUUUUCCUAAAAUACUGAAAAUUUUAUAAAACAAAAAAUCUUUAAAAUAUAGUAAUAAUGCUGACAAUGAGAAUGUUUAUAUAAUCACUUUGCCACUUUAAUAAAAAAAAAACAUGAAACUUCGUAAACAUUAUUAAAAAUAUUUAAAUACACAAUAUAAAAAACAAUUCCUAAAAUGUAAUAUUUAAAAAAUCUUUACGAAAUUUUCUGUUAAAUAAAUAAUAGGAAAAAGAAAAUUAAUAAUAUUCGCAAUAUAUUUUCUCUGAAGAAAUAUUUCUUAAAAAUUGAUCAAAAACGGAGUUUUUUUUUUUUAUGAUUUAUCCUCUUUUUAUAAGCAUUUUAUAAAUGUGAUAUCAUUUAACAAAACACCAACAAGAACAUGCAAUAAAUAAUUAAGAAUAAUAUUGUGAAAUGCUUUAUAAAUUGUAUAAAAAUGUUUCUAUGUACGCUAUAUUUAAUGCCUUAUGAGUAUCUACCCCAAAAAACAGUUUCACUUUACAAAAAUGUUAUUUUCUUUUUUAUAGCGACUGAUGAGAAAAUAUAUUACCUAUAAUAAAUUUUUCUCGUGACAAUAAAUCAAAAAAUUUUCCCCAUAAUUCGAUGGUCAGUAACGCUUCUUUUUUUUCUAAAAAUCUAAUAAAAUAAUACUAUAACAAAUACUGAUUAUAAUAAUAACAAUAAUUUAAAUUCAAUCGGAUAAAUAAAUUAAUAAAUAAAAAUUUAAAAAAUUUUUUUAAUAUAACAAGAUUUUUUUUUGAUAAAUAUAUUAGAAACUUAAGUGAACGACGUAUUUGGAAAACUCUAAAUUUUUUUUUUCAACCUCAAAAAUACUGAGAUAUAAAUUUCUCUUAUAAAAAUUUGAGUUUUCGAAAUAAAAUACUUUUUUUAUGAGGUGCUUUUGUUAAAAUUUUUGUAAGAUAAUUGAAUAAAUAAACAUUCACGCACAUCAGAUCUUCUUUUCUUUUUUCUAAAGUUCGUAUGAAUUUACAAGUGUCGCGCUAUCACGAAGUUAACACGUGCCAAAUGUAUUAAAUUAUAAGUUAUUAUAUUAAUGCACAACAAUCAUUCGCAUCACAAAAUUCUAAAUGCACGGGAAAAAAGACCUCACUCGAUGAACAAAAAAAUUAUAUUUUUUCUUUUUCAUUUGUCACAAUUUUCAAAAUAUAAAUUAUUAAAUUGAAAUCUAAUUGAUUUUUAUUUUUUUAGGAUUCAAAGGUCAAAACAUCGACGUGAACAUCUUUUUUCAACCGUCGGGAGAAAUAUAUCAGACAACAUCAAUUUUUAAUGAGGAACGAGACGUCGCCUAUAAAAUCUAAAGCGAGUCCUUGUGACCUGGAAUCCCUUUUUAAAUAAGAAAUAAUAAUUUUCAUUCGCAGAAAAAUUUCCUUUGGAGAAAUUGUGAAAUUAAACUUUAUUAAAUGUCAUACUUUUCUAAUUAUUUUCAUUUGCUCAUUAGAAAAAUAUUACAAAUAUU